CCUACGGGUGGCUGCAGUGAGGAAUAUUGGUCAAUGGGCGUAAGCCUGAACCAGCCAAGUCGCGUGUGUGAUGAAGGUUCUCUGGAUCGUAAACCUCUUUUAUAAGGGAAUAAAGUGCGGGACGUGUCCCGUUUUGUAUGUACCUUAUGAAUAAGGAACGGCUAGCUCCGUUCCAGCAGCCGCGGUAAUACGGAGGAUCCGAGCGUUAUCCGGAUUUAUUGGGUUUAAAGUGUGCGUAGGCGGCCUUUUAAGUCAGCUGGGAAAGUCUGUGGCUCAACCAUAGAAUUGCCGUUGAAACUGGGAGGCUUGAGUAUGGUUGAGGCAGGCGGAAUGCGUGGUGUAGCGGUGAAAUGCUUAGAGAUCACGCAGAACCCCGAUGGCGAAGGCAGCCUGCCGAGCCAUGACUGACGCUGAUGCACGAAAGCGUGGGGAUCAAACAGGAUUAGAUACCCGGGUAGUC
rnacentral:rRNA from 1 species